rnacentral:sRNA from 1 species
UGAGGUAAUGCCGUAGACAGUAGGCGCGUAAGCUUAAUUUCCUACCGAGGAUACUUAUUGAUAUAAGUCUUUUCGCCCUGUCUAUGAUGGGGCUUUUUUAA